rnacentral:rRNA from 1 species
GGCAACAGCUCAAAUUUGAAAUCUGGCCCUCUCAGGGUCCGAGUUGUAAUUUGAAGAAGCGUUUACCGCGUCCGGGUCGACCCAAAUCCUUUGGGAUAAGGUAUCAUGGAGGGUGAGAAUCCCGUCCGGUUGACCGCAGGAUGUUUUACGUUACGCUCUCUAA